rnacentral:rRNA from 1 species
GACGAACGCUGGCGGCGUGCCUAAUACAUGCAAGUAGAACGCUGAGGAGAGGAGCUUGCUCUUCUUGGAUGAGUUGCGAACGGGUGAGUAACGCGUAGGUAACCUGCCUUGUAGCGGGGGAUAACUAUUGGAAACGAUAGCUAAUACCGCAUAACAAUGGAUGACACAUGUCAUUUAUUUGAAAGGGGCAAUUGCUCCACUACAAGAUGGACCUGCGUUGUAUUAGCUAGUAGGUGAGGUAAUGGCUCACCUAGGCGACGAUACAUAGCCGACCUGAGAGGGUGAUCGGCCACACUGGGACUGAGACACGGCCCAGACUCCUACGGGAGGCAGCAGUAGGGAAUCUUCGGCAAUGGGAGCAACCCUGACCGAGCAACGCCGCGUGAGUGACGAAGGUUUUCGGAUCGUAAAGCUCUGUUGUAAGUCAAGAACGGGUGUGAGAGUGGAAAGUUCACACUGUGACGGUAGCUUAACAGAAAGGGACGGCUAACUACGUG